GUCUUCUUCAUCAAUUAAAACAGCAAUAUUCUUUCUCCCUCUUACUUCUCAAAUUUCUAAUCUCUCUCUUCCGCCAUUUAUCUCAAAUUCCUCAAAUCAGAACAGCAAGCUCAUCACGCUCUUACUUUCUCCCACAAAUCAAAAACAAAGCAAAACGACACCUAUCUCCCUUGUUCCAAAAUUUGGCGCCGCCUCAUGCCCCUCUCGAAGACCAGACGCCACUGCUGACCCCACCGUAGCCUGACCGCCGUUGUCGCCGCCACUCCAGGCGGUCAGCCCCUCCGUCAGCAGCGCCGCUACACACAACCGAAGUAUCUUCCAGAAUUGAGGUUGAAGAAGAGAAAACAAAAUGGCAACUUCCAGAAAAAAUAUCACAAUUCUCUUGGUUUUCUCCUUUCUCCUUCAAUCUGUGAUGUCGAGAAUUUGUGUUAUGUGAUCAAAAAUUUUUGAUGGAAGAAUGUGAGAAGGGAUGGCUACGUGCGUUACAAUAAGGAGGAAGAAACACUUGAUUUUUCAGUUGGAGAUUUUCAGGGAAGAUGGAGAUGUGGAAGAAAACCGUUGGGAGAGCUGGAAGAAUUAUAUGACCAAAUAUUUGACUGAUAAAAAUAAGUUGAAAAAAAUAUAGGAAUAAAAUUUCUAGAAUAAAAGUAGACCAAUUUCAAUAGGAUAAUGGGCUGCAAGAUAGAUAAAAGUGAUAGCCCGAAUAUUUGAUUUAUAAUAUUUAUUAAAUUGUUGUAUUUUACUCUGGUACUUUGGU